UUUAACUGAAGAGUUUGAUCAUGGCUCAGAUUGAACGCUGGCGGCAGGCUUAACACAUGCAAGUCGAGCGGGGGAAGGUAGCUUGCUACUGGACCUAGCGGCGGACGGGUGAGUAAUGCUUAGGAAUCUGCCUAUUAGUGGGGGACAACAUCUCGAAAGGGAUGCUAAUACCGCAUACGUCCUACGGGAGAAAGCAGGGGAUCUUCGGACCUUGCGCUAAUAGAUGAGCCUAAGUCGGAUUAGCUAGUUGGUGGGGUAAAGGCCUACCAAGGCGACGAUCUGUAGCGGGUCUGAGAGGAUGAUCCGCCACACUGGGACUGAGACACGGCCCAGACUCCUACGGGAGGCAGCAGUGGGGAAUAUUGGACAAUGGGGGGAACCCUGAUCCAGCCAUGCCGCGUGUGUGAAGAAGGCCUUAUGGUUGUAAAGCACUUUAAGCGAGGAGGAGGCUACUUUAGUUAAUACCUAGAGAUAGUGGACGUUACUCGCAGAAUAAGCACCGGCUAACUCUGUGCCAGCAGCCGCGGUAAUACAGAGGGUGCGAGCGUU
rnacentral:rRNA from 1 species